rnacentral:rRNA from 1 species
GAUCCUGGCUCAGGAUGAACGCUGGCGGCGUGCCUAAUACAUGCAAGUAGAACGCUGAAGGAGGAGCUUGCUCUUCUGGAUGAGUUGCGAACGGGUGAGUAACGCGUAGGUAACCUGCCUGGUAGCGGGGGAUAACUAUUGGAAACGAUAGCUAAUACCGCAUAACAGUCGACAUUGCAUGAUGUUGAUUUAAAAGGGGCAAUUGCUCCACUACCAGAUGGACCUGCGUUG